GACGAACGCUGGCGGCAUGCCUAACACAUGCAAGUCGAACGAGACGUUCGGGUCUAGUGGCGCACGGGUGCGUAACGCGGGGGAAGCAGCCCGUAGGUACGGAAUAACUCACCGAAAGGGGUGCUAAUAACAGAUAAUGUCUUCGGACAAACGAUUUAUCGCCGUGGGCUGGGGGCGCGUUGGAUUAGCUGGUUGGUAGGGUAAAAGCAAACCAAGGCGACGAUGCAGGGCUGGUCGGGGAGGAGGCCAAGCCAGACUGGGAAUGAGACACGGCCUAGAACCGUACGGAGCGCAGCAGUGGGGAACAUUAGACGAUGGGCGAAAGUGUAACACAGCAGUGUCGGGGGUGUGAUGAAGGCGGUAGUAUUGUAAUGCCCUUUGAGCCGAGAUGAUAAUGACGGUACCGGGUGAAUAAGCACCGGCUAACUCCGUG
rnacentral:rRNA from 1 species